UCCCUGGUGGCUUGGUGGUAAAGAAUCUGCCUGCAAUGCAGGAGACCCAGGUCUGAUCCCUGCGUAGGGAA
rnacentral:tRNA from 1 species